GACGAACGCUGGCGGCGUGCUUAACACAUGCAAGUCGAACGGUAAGGCCCUUCGGGGUACACGAGUGGCGAACGGGUGAGUAACACGUGGGUGAUCUGCCCUGCACUUCGGGAUAAGCCUGGGAAACUGGGUCUAAUACCGGAUAGGACUCCGGACUGCAUGGUCUGGGGUGGAAAGCUUUUGCGGUGUGGGAUGGGCCCGCGGCCUAUCAGCUUGUUGGUGGGGUGAUGGCCUACCAAGGCGACGACGGGUAGCCGGCCUGAGAGGGUGACCGGCCACACUGGGACUGGGAUACUGCCCAGACUCCUACGGGAGGCAGCAGUGGGGAAUAUUGCACAAUGGGCGCAAGCCUGAUGCAGCGACGCCGCGUGAGGGAUGACGGCCUUCGGGUCGUAAACCUCUUUCAGCAUCGACGAAGCGAAAGUGACGGUAGGUGCAGAAGAAGGACCGGCCAACUACGUGCCAGCCGCCGCCGUAA
rnacentral:rRNA from 1 species